rnacentral:rRNA from 1 species
GAUGAACGCUGGCGGCGUGCUUAACACAUGCAAGUCGAACGAAGCACUUUAUUUGAUUUCCUUCGGGACUGAUUAUUUUGUGACUGAGUGGCGGACGGGUGAGUAACGCGUGGGUAACCUGCCUUGUACAGGGGGAUAACAGUUGGAAACGGCUGCUAAUACCGCAUAAGCGCACGGCAUCGCAUGAUGCAGUGUGAAAAACUCCGGUGGUAUAAGAUGGACCGGCGUAGGAUUAGCUAGUUGGUGAGGUGACGGCCCACCAAGGCGACGAUCCAUAGCCGACGUGAGAGGGUGACCGGCCACAUUGGGACUGAGACACGGCCUAAACUCCUACGGGAGGCAGCAGUGGGGAAUAUUGCACAAUGGGCGAAAGCCUGAUGCAGCGACGCCGCGUGAGCGAAGAAGUAUUUCUGUAUGUAAAGCUCUAUCAGCAGGGAAGAUAAUGACGGUACCUGACUAAGAAGCACCGGCUAAAUACGUG